GGGCCGUUAGCUCAAUUGGUAGAGCUGCGGACUUUUAAUCCGUAGGUUCUGGGUUCGAGCCCCAGGCGGCCCAC
rnacentral:tRNA from 6 species